rnacentral:lncRNA from 10 species
CACGAUCUGGCUUUAGAACGUUCCCACUACCCCAGAAAGGUCUCUCGUGCCCCUGAGCAAUCAAUUUCCAAUCCCUUCCCCAGACCCUGACACAGGAAUCCACUUGCUAUCUCUAGAGACUUCUCUAUUCUGAACAUUUCACAGACCCAAACUCUGCCAAGGUUCCACACUGGCUGUGACUGGAGCAGAUGUCUCCACCUUCUGGAUACGAGUGUCCUCAUCUGUAAGAUUUUCCUUGUGCUAAAUCAUGGAAAUCUUUCAAGAAAAUCCGGGCUUUAAACACUUUCAAUAGAAC